GACGAGCCACCCAAACGUUAUUCGGAAUUACUGGGUUUAAAGGGUGCGUAGGCGGUCCUAUAAGUCAGUGGUGAAAUAUCGCAGCUCAACUGUGAGGGUGCCAUUGAUACUGUAGGACUUGAGUGAAUUUGAGGUAGGCGGAAUUGACGGUGUAGCGGUGAAAUGCUUAGAUAUCGUCAAGAACACCGAUAGUGAAGACAGCUUACCAAGCUUCAACUGACGCUGAGGCACGAAAGUGUGGGGAUCAAACAGG
rnacentral:rRNA from 1 species